rnacentral:rRNA from 1 species
UGAGGGAUAUUGGGCAAUGGGCGCAAGCCUGACCCAGCGACGCCGCGUGGAGGACGACGCGUUUCGGCGUGUAAACUCCUUUUGUCAGGGACGAGCAAGGACGGUACCUGGCGAAUAAGUCUCGGCUAACUACGUGCCAGCAGCCGCGGUAAUACGUAGGAGGCAAGCGUUAUCCGGAAUUACUGGGCGUAAAGGGCGUCUAGGUGGUCUGGAAAGCGGGGUGUGAAAGCUCUCGGCUCAACUGAGAGAGUGCGCUCCGAACUAGCGGACUAGAGGACAGGCGACGCAGGUGGAAUACCCGGUGGAGUGGUGAAAUGCGUAGAGAUCGGGUGGAACACCAGUGGCGCAGGCGGCCUGCGAGCCUGUUUCUGACACUGAAGCGCGACAGCGUGGGGAGCAAACGG